rnacentral:misc_RNA from 1 species
GAGAAAACCAUUGUCAACUUAACCAAGCUUUUCUAUUCCUUUAAAUUGCAGAGAAUUCACUAUAAAAGAAAAUUAUGGUUAUUUGUAGUUUCUAAAUUUUAGGAAAUUGAAAAAGAUAAGGCACCCAUUGAAACGUGUCUAUUUCAACAAUUUGAACAAUUCUAAAAGAGAAAUUAUAUCAUGUAGAUAAGCAAUAAAUCAUAGGAAGAAGGAAUCUUA